AGCUCCAAUAGCGUAUAUUAAAGUUGUUGCAGUUAAAAAGCUCGUAGUUGGAUUUCUAGCGGAUGCAACCGGUCUGCUCCGCGAGGAGUGGGACUAGCGUUGUCGUCUGUUAUCCUUGAGUAGAUCGGCUCUGGCAUUUGGUUGUCGGAGUCGCUACACUCAUCGUUUACUGUGAAAAAUUAGAGUGUUCAAAGCAAGCUUAGGCUCUGAAUAUAUUAGCAUGGAAUAAUAAGAUAAGACCUUGGUGGUUUAUUUUGUUGGUUUGCACGCCGAGGUAAUGAUUAAUAGGGAUAGUUGGGGGUAUUCGUAUUCAAUUGUCAGAGGUGAAAUUCUUGGAUUUAUGGAAGACGAACUACUGCGAAAGCAUUUACCAAGGAUGUUUUCA
rnacentral:rRNA from 1 species